AGGCUGGAAGUCCAAGAUCAAGGCGCUGGCAGGUUUGGUUUCUCCUGCGGCUUUUCUACCUGGCUUGUAGACAGCCAGCUUCC